ensembl:lncRNA
UAGAUUUAAACAUGUAUUUAUUAUUAUUAAAAUAUUAACCUAGAAAACAGCCUAUAAACACUAUUUACAUGAUAGCUAGCAGUAACGUUGGUUUUAGAGUCUAGAACCAUUAAAAACAGACACUUAUUUUCCAGUAGUGAUUGUUGUUGUUUUUGCCGCUGAGGGAAAACGGUUGAAUCUUUGGGGGGGGCAUUGUAAGACCAUGGUAAAGCAAUCCAUCCAUAUUUUAGAUAGCGUUUGCUUGUGAUAAAACAGACAGUCCUACUAUACACGUUUUCCUGAGCUGAGAGACUAAACCGAUAACAUGGAAGUGAUGAGGUACGUAAUCAUGUUUGGAUUUUACACUGGUCUGGACUGUUUCUAGUACAUUUAAUUAUUGAUGAGCGCAGCCAAUUCUCAUUGUUCCAGUUGGUUGCUUGAUAGUCUUUACUCAAGCUGGGGCUACAACAGGCCAAUCUCUGGACAACAUGUGUCAUCCAACAGGCCAAUCCCUGGGCAACAGGGGUCAUCCUACAACAGGGGUCAUCCAACAGGCCAAUCUCUGGACAACAUGGGUCAUCCUACAACAGGGGUCGUCCAACAGGCCAAUCUCUGGACAACAGGGGUCAUUCUACAACAGGUGUCAUCCAACAGGCCAAUCUCUGGACAACAGGGGUCAUCCUACAACAGGGGUCAUCCUACAACAGGGAUCAUCCUACAACAGGGGUCAUCCAACAGGCCAAUCUCUGGACAACAGGGGUCAACAGGGGUCAUCCUACAACAGGGGUCAUCCUACAACAGGGGUCAUCCUACAACAGGGGUCAUCCUACAACAGGGGUCAUCCUACAACAGGGGUCAUCCUACAACAGGGGUCAUCCUACAACAGGGGUCAUCUUACAACAGGGGUCAUCUAAGUGUGUUUUAUUUCUCAUGUUUUUAUUUUCUUAUUUUAUCUCCGCAUCAUUGAGGAAAAAGCUUGUAAGUCAGUCAGCAUUUCACUGUGAGGUCUACACCUGUUGGUUAAGGGCUGGUCAGUCAGCAUUUCACUGUGAGGUCUACACCUGUUGGUUAAGGGCUGGUCAGUCAUCAUUUCACUGUGAGGUCUACACCUGUUGGUUAAGGGCUGGUCAGUCAGCAUUUCACUGUGAGGUCUACACCUGUUGGUUAAGGGCUGGUCAGUCAGCAUUUCACUGUGAGGUCUACACCUGUUGGUUAAGGGCUGGUCAGUCAGCAUUUCACUGUGAGGUCUACACCUGUUGGUUAAGAGCUGGUCAGUCAGCAUUUCACUGUGAGGUCAGUCAGCAUUUCACUGUGAGGUCUACACCUGUUGGUUAAGGGCUGGUCAGUCAGCAUUUCACUGUGAGGUCUACACCUGUUGGUUAAGGGCUGGUCAGUCAGCAUUUCACUGU